rnacentral:snoRNA from 1 species
UCUGUGUUUAAAAUCCAGGAAAAAAUGUCUCUAUUGUCGUAGUGUCCCCAAACCAAAAGCUUUGGCCCCAAACCAUUGCCUUGCCUCUGUGUCCAUAAGCUGCUGACCCUGAGGCAGGUUGUACAGCU